rnacentral:rRNA from 1 species
AACCAAGAAGAUUAAGUCAUGCAUCUUCGGUAAAAAGACAGUUAAGCAGCAUAAAAAGUUUUUUGAAUUGUUAUUAAGAAGUAAAAUUCGUAAAUAAUCUAGAAACUUAAUUAAAACUAAAAAGCUGAAGCUGUGACACCCUUGAGGGAAACUGGGAUUAGAUACCCCACUAUUCUUGGAUGUAAAAAGAUAUAAAUUUACCAGAGUACUAUGGAUUGAUAACAUUUAAAACUCAAAGAGCUUGGCGGUGUUUUAGACUCUUUAGGGGAACCUGUCUCAUAAUCGACAAUCCACGUAAAACCUGACCUUUAUUUGCAUUCAGUUUGUAUACCGUCGUCGUCAGGUAACUUUUAAGAAAAAAGAAGUUAGCAACUGAGUUUCUAAUAAACUCUAACGUCAGAUCAAGGUGCAGCUUACAUAAAGGGGAGGAUGGGUUACAAUUAUAAGAAUCAUAAUUACGAAAUAACAGUUUUAAAUAACAGUUAUGAAGGAGGACUUAAAAGUAAAAUUAAAUAGAUAAGUAUAUUGAAUUGAGCUCUGAAACGUGC